rnacentral:rRNA from 1 species
CACGUAGGGUGCGAGCGUUGUCCGGAAUUAUUGGGCGUAAAGAGCUCGUAGGCGGUGUGUCGCGUCGGCCGUGAAAACCUGCAGCUUAACUGUGGGCGUGCGGUCGAUACGGGCAUCACUGGAGUUCGGCAGGGGAGACUGGAAUUCCUGGUGUAGCGGUGAAAUGCGCAGAUAUCAGGAGGAACACCGGUGGCGAAGGCGGGUCUCUGGGCCGAUACUGACGCUGAGGAGCGAAAGCGUGGGGAGUGAACAGG